rnacentral:misc_RNA from 1 species
UAAUAAGUGUUUUAUGGCACUUUUUAAUCCAUAUCCACCUUGUGUGCAAUGUCAGUCGAUCUUCUUCAUGGAGAUCGACCAAACAUCAACCUUUAUCUUUUAACUCUUUGUCUGAAAAAUAUUAUGAAUAAACAAUUCAAAUA